CUUCCCUAUCCCCUUCACGCUACGCAGCCCAACCCUUUCCUCAGCCUUCCCUGCGCAGCACACACACACCCAGUUCUCUGAGGAAGAAAGGAAGAAAACGAAAAGGGGGAAAGGGAGAAGGGGAUCUGGAGGGAGGAAGGGCACCGGGCAGGGAGCAGCUCGCCGGUCCUCACCCCGCCGCCGUCAUCCUUGCGAUCGCGAAGAGAGAGACUAACGGGAGGAACUGGCACACAUGGGAGAGGAAGAAACCGCCUCUGCGCCGCCAUCGUUCACAAGCUCAGCCACCUCGCCAUUGUCGCCGCCGAGGGUUUGCUGCUGGUGAGGAGAAGAUGCCGUCACGUCUUCCGGCCGUCCAUGCCGCCGCCUUUGUUGCCGAGCUCCUAUGGCCACCGCCGGUAAGAUCUGAACGGAAGGAAGCUUGAGGAGAGAGAGAGGGAUCGACGGGAGGGGUUCCUGCCCGUGCGGCCGUGCCUCCACCGCCGCAGAUCCUCCACUGCCUCUCACUGCUGAUGUCCUCCGCCGCCGUGCUUGUCAUUCAAAGCUGCUGCAUCUCCACUACUGGAGUUGCUGUUGCUGUUGCUCGGGCUCCGUUUUGAACCAUUAGAACCGCUACUAUUUUGUAAGUUACUUUGCCGCUGCUAUUAUUGGAGGUAGUUGCUGGCCCUGUUUGGAGAUUUCUACUGCUACUGGAAUCCCAAAUUAGAGAGGAGAGGAGGCGUUUAACCUUGUCACGGUUGCUGCCAUGGGAACAGGUCCCGGAAACUACUAACAGAGCAGGCUGAGUCAUAGUGAUUCUGGCUGCCGAGGGCAGUUCUGUGGCUAUCGGGACCACUGUUGAAGCUUCUGUCCUUUGGUUCAGUCAGUAUCCCAGUACAGAUUAAGUUAUCGGAGCCACAUGUUACGCGUAAGGGUUGUUUCUGCUGCUGCGAAAGUGAACAAAGCUGUGAUGCAAGCGGCCGGUAAUUUCGGGUUGAGAGAGGGUUUCUGUGACGCGUUUGGUUUAUGUGUUCGACGAAUCGAGCUAGGGGCUAUUUUCUGAAAACUAUGUUUUAUAUAUUGGAAUUAUUACAUAUAGAUACUGAUGUGAGACAAUGUAUAUUUGGUGAUUGUAUCGGUCUUAUGUAUUGUUUGGUUGUCUUAAAUGAUUAUGAACAUUUGUUUGACUGGAUUGUUGUGCGGCUUUGUGAAACGGAAUGCUUUUGGAAGUUGAUUCUUUUAAAGAUU